UACGUAGGUGGCAAGCGUUGUCCGGAAUUAUUGGGCGUAAAGCGCGCGCAGGCGGCCUCUUAAGUCUGAUGUGAAAGCCCCCCGGCUCAACUGGGGAGGGCCAUUGGAAACUGGGAGGCUUGAGUAUAGGAGAGAAGAGUGGAAUUCCACGUGUAGCGGUGAAAUGCGUAGAGAUGUGGAGGAACACCAGUGGCGAAGGCGACUCUUUGGCCUAUAACUGACGCUGAGGCGCGAAAGCGUGGGGAGCAAACAGG
rnacentral:rRNA from 1 species